GAUCAUGGCUCAGGAUGAACGCUAGCUACAGGCUUAACACAUGCAAGUCGAGGGGCAGCAUAGUGUUCUAGCAAUAGAAUACGGAUGGCGACCGGCGCACGGGUGAGUAACACGUAUCCAACCUGGCUGUUAUUCGGGAAUAGCCUUGCGAAAGAAAGAUUAAUACCGGAUAGUAUCGAGAGAUUGCAUGAUUACCCGAUUAAAGAUUCAUCGGUAACGGAUGGGGAUGCGUU
rnacentral:rRNA from 1 species